UUUCUCCACACGUUUAUUUUCCCCGCAUGUUUUAAAUUUUUUUUUUUGUUUUUCUUCUCUUUCCGUCUAUAUUUUUUUUUUCACACGGCUUAUUUCCGUUGCCCACAGUAUGCAUGCACACACACGGCUUACCCUUCCUUCCGCACACACGUCUCUUUUAUCCCUAGGGUUUUUCUUUUGUUUUGCUAUAUUUAUUUACGUUACACUUUUCACGCACACUGCACAGCCCAGCCCCUCUUGCCGUUGCAUUCAUCUUCCCCAAGGCUCCUCCUCCUCCACACCGUGAGUCCUUCCCCAUAGCGCAGCCGUGCAUCACCUGAACCGCUAACCACCGUGGGAAAGCCAUCCGGCCCCAGCCACAGCUCGAAACAGAGCCUGAAACAGACCUUCACAAAAGCCCAAACGUGAGCAUCCCAAGCACCUCUCGGGUUAUCCUUGUUUCCGUAAGCAAUGGUAGUUCCUCUGCAAGCUACCAGCUUUCGUCACAGCCAUGCACCACCGAGAACCAACACCUCUCAGUCGCAGCAUCAAAUGGUUGCGUUGGGAUUGUUCAUCAUUCGGGCAACCUCGAGCAGCACACAUGCAUGGUCAACAGCGAAUCAACACCUCCACAUAGUUGCCGCCGGUUCAUCCACCUCACGAAAACCUCUGUCCAGACCCCACCACCAUGCCCAGCCACAUGAAGCCGCCGCCCAACGCCUCCCGUAGCCUCCGUUGCAAGCCACGAAACUCCCCUGUUUUAGCCACCGAAAACAGAGCAACACAGCCCGGUGCCCUUGUCAUUCAACGCCACCACGCACGGUGCCAACGCCUCCACGUCGUUACCACCGGCACAGAGAACUCCGACGGUCACUCCAAGCCACUCCUAUCCGCCGCGUCCCGCUCGUACUCCACCAUGAUCACCGCCGUCUGCCUAGUCCCUCGCCUACGUCGCACGCUGCCGCUGGAUUGUCUCCGUGGUGACAAUUAAUAAUUGUUCAGCAUUUUGAUGAAAUUCCUGAAAAGCUAAGAAGUC